GAUGAACGCUGGCGGCGUGCCUAACGCAUGCAAGUCGAGCGAUUCUCUUCGGAGAAGAGCGGCGGACGGGUGAGUAACGCGUGGGUAACCUGCCUUGUACACACGGAUAACAUACCGAAAGGUAUGCUAAUACGAGAUAAUAUGCUUUUAUCGCAUGGUAGAAGUAUCAAAGCUUUUGCAGUACAGGAUGGACCCGCGUCUGAUUAGCUAGUUGGUAAGGUAACGGCUUACCAAGGCGACGAUCAGUAGCCGACCUGAGAGGGUGAUCGGCCACAUUGGAACUGAGAUACGGUCCAAACUCCUACGGGAGGCAGCAGUGGAGAACAUUGCACAAUGGGCGAAAGCCUGAUGCAGCAACGCCGCGUGAGCGAUGAAGGCCUUCGGGUCGUAAAGCUCUGUCCUCAAGGAAGAUAAUGACGGUACUUGAGGAGGAAGCCCCGGCUAACUACGUGCCAGCAGCCGCGGUAA
rnacentral:rRNA from 1 species